ensembl:lincRNA
GGAACAACAGUGAAAAGCGCUCGGGAUGUGUUGCAGUGAUGGUCCUGCAGUAGCUCCGUGUGUGAAUGCCGUCCGGGGCCAGAUCACUUUAACAGCAGUCCCACUUCUCUUGACUCGUAGGUCCCCCCAUCUUCAGUACGGGCUCCGAGCAGGCCUGCGGACAGGGGCCCCUGGACAGCGCCCACAGGGGGGCCCCCAGAGCCCGCUGCUCGUGUGCCGCCUCUCUCCACCAGCCUCAGGGGCGGGGCUGUUGUGUGGCUUUUACCAGCUGCGCGGGGCUCCGCGAGGCCCCGCGGACACCGACACCGGCCCACACGCAGAGAGCCCCCACGGCAGGGGACGCCCCUCCCGAAUUCAUGGGCCCGCAGGGAAAAGCAAUGUCGCUGACAAACAAAACGCACUGUGAUGGCAGCGGGAAACGGGCCCGGAGCUGUCCGUCAAGCCAGGGGCGGCAGAGCCGGGUCGUCCAGGGGGGGGCAGUGCUCUUCCAGCAAUGGGCUGCUCAGCCCCCCCCCCCCGCGCCCAGCAGCCCCCCUCCCUUCUCUCCCCCUCCUCCUAAUCCCUCCUCCCCCGGGUCUCCAUGGCGACUGCCCAGACAAGCAGGUGAUCCAUUGACAGGGAGCAGAUGGUGUCCCGUGGAGGUAAGCAGGGCCGAACAAUGCCGCCGUAUUGAUCCUGUUGCUCCUCUUUCUCCAACUUCGUCCCGGAGUUUUUCUGGGGUUCCCCCCUCUCGCCACAGGGGCGCCCCCUCCCCGGGGCCUGGACGGGGGGGCCCCCGCGGAGGCAGCGCGGGCCCUGGGCACAGGCGCAGGCCCGGACCCGCCCCAGCUCCGUAGCUGUCACACAGAUUCAUGGCCGAGCCCGGCCAUGGGGAGCUGGGAGGGGCGGCCUAGGAAAACAAGAGGCUGCUUUUUGCCUUGGUUUCUAUGUGUGCUGUCUGCAGGUGUUUUCCAAACCUUGGCUACAGUAACUCGCUCUAAAGUAGCUCCUUUUUUUUUUCCUCUACGCUCCGAAGAUAAAGUGUGCGUCGCCCCCCCCCCUCCUCCUCCUCCUCCUCCUCCUCCCCCCCUCCUUCUUCGCCNNNNNNNNNNNNNNNNNNNNNNNNNNNNNNNNNNNNNNNNNNNNNNNNNNNNNNNNNNNNNNNNNNNNNNNNNNNNNNNNNNNNNNNNNNNNNNNNNNNNUUUUUUUCUUCUUCUUCAAACUACUGAAUAAUCCACAAACAAUGCAGGGCUACAAAGCAGUCUGAACUAAUGGCGUAGCAUUGCCAGGCGGGAGUCUCACAGAGGGUCACUUGUUCCUUCGUUUUUAUGGAGAUCAGUUAAUGCAUGUAGGACAUUGCGUCCAGGUUUUAGAACAAGUGGCGAAGAAAGUGCACAACACAAUGAAGCUUUUCUUAUGCAUUUAGAGCCCUGUGCCCACAAACACCUGGGGCUUACAAAGAGGAGAAAGAGUGGCUAUUGUCUCCGAGUUGCACUACGUAUAUCAAUACUUUCUCUUUGGCUCGAUUGUUGGGGAAGUCGACAUUGAAGGCUGAUUCAAACAUAAAGAUGCACAGCGAGGAGCGACUGAAAGCCGUUCUCUUUUAAUAGAUUGGCUAAUAGGUACCUAUUCACCGGAGAAAAUGUUUUUUAAAGUUUUGCAAAGAAACAAUCGCUAUGCAUGUUGCCCCACUGUAUAGCAGUUAUCCAACGAGAUCCUUUUUUAUUUUAAAUAGAUGGCAUAGAAAAGAGGAAUCCCCCCCCCCACACACACACCCCACUACCACAAAAGCUUUUCCAGUUCGAACAGAGUUAUUUAUUGAAAGAAAUAAUAAAUUGGAGGACAUGCUGUGUGGCUGUAGGGGCUCAAAGACUGAGCAGGCAUGUUUGUGCCUGACAGCUUCUUAAAUAAGAAACCGCGAUGAAAAAUCUAGUAGAUAAAUAAUCAGACGAUUGUUUAUUUAGUUGUGGCUGUAUAAAUGCACGGCUCCCGGCGAUGUAGCCAGUGCCCGACAUCCACUUCUAAAUCAGAAACACAGCUGUGUUGUGGAAGAGCAGUGACUUGUGUUAUCGAAGCAUCAGAAUCGUAUCCCUUGGCAGCUCCUGCAGCAUAAUAAGACCUGACUUAUAUCGAUUUAGUUUAAUUACACGAACGCUGUAUCUCACUUCUGGGUGAGGUUAUGCCGUUGGCUCCGUGUCCUGCCCUGCCUUCUUCUGCUUGCUUUGGCAAAUCCCACUCCCCUUGUCCACGUUCAUUCAGUUUGGACGAAGCCGGCUUUUAAGACGCGCAAUUCUCCAUCCCUCAGGAGGUUUCCUUUUUGUUUCAGUCGGCACACACAACACAACACAACGGCGAGAGGGAUGGGAGAGGAUGUCGCUCUGGUUAUCUCGCUCCUUCAGCCUGGUGCCCGAGCAGCACCACACAAUGCCAGGGGUGGAAUGCCACUAGUUCUGUGUGAUUAUCUGCAAUAAGUGGGAAACACACUGCCCACAGGUUCAAUGGAGUCCAAAACAAUCCGAGGAGGCCCCUGUGUUUUACUUUUCUCUGGAAUGAAACUGAAAAUGCCUAUUGUGCUGCAUGAGUCCUGGCUUGUCCGUGAAAAAAAAUCAUCUCCGCUCAGAGCAGUCUAUGCGUUUCAGAAGGUGCAUCCAUUUUUACAGAAGAGUAAAAUUCUCCAUUCUGAAAAUCGAGGCAGGCAAGUGUGAAUUUGUCUGUUUGACCUUGUGUUUGAUGUCUCACUUCUCACUCUGCCUCACACUCCAGAGAGCUUUGGCUCAGCCUCCAGUUCCUUCAGAGCAAUUACUUCUGCCUCGGACCAUUUGUGUUUUUGCUUUUAAUUAUUCCGUUAUUUUAGUUAAUUUGCAUUGUCCUGAAAGCCAGGUGGGCACAUUUCAUGUAGCUGUUGUGAGCCAAAGUUUUCGAAGUGUUUUUUUUCCCCUGAAGAGAAUAUGAUCUUUGUAUGAGCAAUUAAAAACUUGGGAUCCCGCAUCAAAAGAUAAUGUUGUCUUUUAAAAACAGUUAAUGACAUUUGUGAUGGUUCUUAUGAUCAGAUUAAAAACAUCUUUAUGCUACGACUAU